rnacentral:rRNA from 1 species
UACGUAGGGAGCAAGCGUUGUCCGGAAUCACUGGGCGUAAAGGGCGCGUAGGCGGUCUAUUAAGUUGCAUGUGAAAUACCAGGGCUCAACCUUGGGGUGUCAUGCAAAACUGGUGGACUUGAGUGCAGUAGAGGGAAGCGGAAUUCCUGGUGUAGCGGUGAAAUGCGUAGAGAUCAGGAGGAACACCGGUGGCGAAGGCGGCUUUCUGGGCUGUAACUGACGCUGAGGCGCGAAAGCGUGGGGAG